rnacentral:lncRNA from 1 species
UUUGCUUUUCAUCCUGGUUGUAAAAAAGUGGGAAUAACUCACUUAAGUUUUGCUGAUGACUUGUUGCUGUUUGUCAAAGGAGAACCUCACUCUGUAAGUAAUAUGUUUACUUAUUUCUCUCAGUUCAAGUUUUGCUGAUGACUUGUUGCUGUUUGUCAAAAGGGAACCUCACUCUGUAAGUCAUAUGUUUACUUAUUUCUCUCAGUUCACUGCAGCCUCUGGUAUGACAGCCAACUUGCAUAAGAGUGCUGUCUAUUUUGGAGGGGUGGAACCUCAGGAUCAGCAGCAGAUUAUUG